rnacentral:rRNA from 1 species
ACGGCGGCCGAGGACAAGCUUCUUUGCGAGUGUUGGAGAGAUAUUGGGCAAGACCCCAAGACGGGCUCCGAACAAAAGCAUUCAACCUUUUGGAUUCGUGUCCACAGUGAGUUCCAUGAGCGCAAGAAGUUUCCCCCGUACCAAAUGGUAAGCACGCGCUGGUGGGUGUCCAUUUUGAAGCGAUGGAGGGUGAUCCAACAAGAGUGCAACAAGUUUUGUGUCACUCUUGAGAGCGUCAAGGCCCGCCCCAUGAGCGGCAUCGGCAUGCAAGACAUGGCAUUUCAAGCUUUGGAGGCAUUCAAGGUCCAACACAAUGGCAAGUGCUUCAACCUAUCCCAUUGCUUUAGGGUCAUCAAA